rnacentral:rRNA from 1 species
AUUGAACGCUGGCGGCAUGCCUUACACAUGCAAGUCGAACGGUAACAGGUCUUCGGAUGCUGACGGGUGGCGAACGGGUGAGUAAUACAUCGGAACGUGCCCGAUCGUGGGGGAUAACGGAGCGAAAGCUUUGCUAAUACCGCAUACGAUCUACGGAUGAAAGCAGGGGACCGCAAGGCCUUGCGCGGACGGAGCGGCCGAUGGCAGAUUAGGUAGUUGGUGGGAUAAAAGCUUACCAAGCCGACGAUCUGUAGCUGGUCUGAGAGGACGACCAGCCACACUGGGACUGAGACACGGCCCAGACUCCUACGGGAGGCAGCAGUGGGGAAUUUUGGACAAUGGGCGCAAGCCUGAUCCAGCCAUGCCGCGUGCAGGAUGAAGGCCUUCGGGUUGUAAACUGCUUUUGUACGGAACGAAAGACUCUUCUAAUAAAGAGGUCCAUGACGGUACCGUAAGAAUAAGCACCGGCUAACUACGUGCCAGCAGCCGCGGUAAAACG